GAGACAGCAGCAGCCGCGGGAAUACGUAGGGUGCAAGCGUUAAUCGGAAUUACUGGGCGUAAAGCGUGCGCAGGCGGUUAUAUAAGUCAGAUGUGAAAUCCCCGGGCUCAACCUGGGAACUGCAUUUGAGACUGUAUGGCUAGAGUGUGUCAGAGGGGGGUAGAAUUCCACGUGUAGCAGUGAAAUGCGUAGAUAUGUGGAGGAAUACCGAUGGCGAAGGCAGCCCCCUGGGAUAACACUGACGCUCAUGCACGAAAGCGUGGGGAGCAAACAGGAUUAGAGACCCCUGUAGUCCCUGUCUCUUAUAA
rnacentral:rRNA from 1 species